GCGGGGGGAGGGGUAUCUUAUUGAAACCUACUGAAUAUUGAUUGGUCUCGAUUGAGUGGCCAUGGAGAGGAUGUUUCCUACAGUGAAGGAAUCUAGGACCAGAGGGCAGUGCCUCAGAGUACCAGGACGUCCCUUUAGAAUAGAUAUGAGCAGGAACUUCUUUAGGCAGAGGGUAGUGAUUAUGUGGGAUUCUUUGCCACAGGCAGCUGUGGAGAGCAAGCCAUUGGGUAUAUUUAACAUGGGGGUUGAUAGGUGUUAAAGAUUACGGGGAGAAGGCAGAAUAAUGGGGUUGAGAGGUAUAGUAAAUCAGCCACGAUGGAAUGGCAGAGUCGAUGGGCCGAAUGGUCGAAUUCUGCUCCUAUGUCUUAUGGUUUUCCGUGCAAAUAUGAUAUGCUAAUCUGUUUUACAAGAUCUUUUGUACUAUACUAUAAAGAUUAACAUUUAAGUGUGCUCUUUCGGUAAAGUGCAGAAUGCAGUCUGUAGCAGAAAUCCUUAAACCUUACUCGUAUUCCAUUUUCCGUACAAUCCGCAGUUUCUGUCCACAGAUGAUACACUGGAGAAAGGAGAUACACCAUUCGCAGCCCAGUCUCAACUUCAUUUAAUGAUCAAAAGCUAAAUAUUCUUGACCUUGGCUGAUUAAAAAAAUGGGCAGUUCAAACGGAAUGGUGCAUUUAAUUUAUGGCGAACGUACAGGCCCUGUGGCAAUCAACUUCAAGGGAAUCAGCUGCUCAUUACAGGAUGCGUAUGAAACAAAAGGCAGCUCGGAUACAACGACACGCGGGUAAGAGAAAGAUUUUGCCUGCAGGAACGGAGUAGGCCAUUCAGACCCCCUUGCCUGGUCCACCAUUUGACAAGAUCUUGGCUGACUGAACUGCAACUCUACUCCUGCCAACUCUCGUUAGAAUCUUGCUUCAUCAAGUGGACCCCCCCACUGCCUUAAAAAUAUUCUAAGACUUUGCUUCCACCACCCUUUGAGGAGGGGAGUCGCGGUCUCAGGAAGACAUUUGCCUCACAUCUAUCCUAAAUGGAUAACCCUCGUAUUUAUUUUAGUGACACUGAGGCCCUUUGUUGGUCGGGGUUGACCAUGGACAUUGCAUCCUAGCUGUCUCUGUAAGCUGCCUAAGCCAGGAUAGUACGAUAUGGUAACUCCUGCGAUGCCACUGCUUCAAAUUGUAUCAGUCUCAGCCGUUCUUUUGGAUUCAUCAGCUGUGCGGAGAGGGAGAGCCUGCUACAGGGUAGAGCUCUGUGGCAUCAGAUCCUCUGACGAGACCUUGAACAUGGUCACGCCCAUCGACUUGGGGACAAUCCCGUAACCACACCUCGGCUUCCUGUGACCACCUCUUCGUUGUCCUUACCUCUUACGCCUUGCUUUUAUGUCCAUGCAGAAAUACAGAAUGUUGGAACUGUCAGCAAGGAUAUCGUGGACAUGAUCAGAAAGAUCCCAGACCCUGGCAACUUGGAGGAAAACUACCAUCCAUGUUUCUUUCCUGUGUUACGAAUGAUGAGCAACUCUGAUGGGC